CCUACGGGCGGCUGCAGUGGGGAAUAUUGCACAAUGGGCGCAAGCCUGAUGCAGCCAUGCCGCGUGUGUGAAGAAGGCCUUCGGGUUGUAAAGCACUUUCAGCGGGGAGGAAGGCGGUGAGGUUAAUAACCUCAUCGAUUGACGUUACCCGCAGAAGAAGCACCGGCUAACUCCGUGCCAGCAGCCGCGGUAAUACGGAGGGUGCAAGCGUUAAUCGGAAUUACUGGGCGUAAAGCGCACGCAGGCGGUCUGUCAAGUCGGAUGUGAAAUCCCCGGGCUCAACCUGGGAACUGCAUGCGAAACUGGCAGGCUAGAGUAUUGUAGAGGGGGGUAGAAUUCCAGGUGUAGCGGUGAAAUGCGUAGAGAUCUGGAGGAAUACCGGUGGCGAAGGCGGCCCCCUGGACAAAGACUGACGCUCAGGUGCGAAAGCGUGGGGAGCAAACAGGAUUAGAUACCCUAGUAGUC
rnacentral:rRNA from 1 species